UUGUGGGGUGGCUCGAGUGGCGAACGGGUGAGUAACACGUGAGUAACCUGCCCUUGACUUUGGGAUAACUUCAGGAAACUGGGGCUAAUACCGGAUAGGAGCUCCUGCUGCAUGGUGGGGGUUGGAAAGUUUCGGCGGUUGGGGAUGGACUCGCGGCUUAUCAGCUUGUUGGUGGGGUAGUGGCUUACCAAGGCUUUGACGGGUAGCCGGCCUGAGAGGGUGACCGGCCACAUUGGGACUGAGAUACGGCCCAG
rnacentral:rRNA from 1 species